rnacentral:tRNA from 1 species
GUCCCUGUAGCUCAGUAGGAUAGAGCAGCCGCCUCUAAGCGGCAGGUCGCAGGUUCGACUCCUGCCAGGGACCCA